rnacentral:rRNA from 1 species
AUGUUAGGCAGUGUGGUCGACGCCUUGGGAGUACCUAUUGAUGGAAAAGGGGCUCUAAGCGAUCACGAACGAAGACAUGUCAAAGUGAAAGCCCCAGGGAUUAUUGAACGUAAAUCUGUGCAUGAACCCAUGCAACGCCAGUGA